GAUGAACGCUGACAGAAUGCUUAACACAUGCAAGUCGUUGGCGAAGCUGCGCUUUCGCAGUCUAGCCAAGGCGGACGGGUGAGUAACGCGUAAGGAACUUGCCCUGCCGACAGGGAUAACAGACGGAAACGACUGAUAACACCCGGUAUUGUCAGGCUGGCCCAUGCCGGCCUGAUGAAAGGAGACGCUGCAGGAGAGCCGUGCGUCCUAUUAGCUAGUUGGUGGGGUAACGGCCCACCAAGGCGAUGAAAGGUAGCAGGCGGGAGGGGAUGAACGGCCACAAGGGGAGGGAGAUACGGCGGUUAAGACUCCGGGAGGAAGCAGUAGUGAAUAAUGGACAAUGGGGGCAAAACUGAUGAAGCAAUUCUGUGUGGAGGAAGAAGGUUGUCGGAUGGUAAAAAGGUUUCAGUAGGGAAGAAGAAAGUGACGGUACCGGCAGAAGAAGCGACGGCUAAAUACGUG
rnacentral:rRNA from 1 species